UCCUACGGGAGGCAGCAGUAGGGAAUCUUCCGCAAUGGACGAAAGUCUGACGGAGCAACGCCGCGUGAGCGAAGAAGGCCUUCGGGUCGUAAAGCUCUGUUGUAAGGGAAGAACAAGUGCCAUUUAACUGAUGGCACCUUGACGGUACCUUACGAGAAAGCCACGGCUAACUACGUGCCAGCAGCCGCGGUAAUACGUAGGUGGCAAGCGUUGUCCGGAUUUAUUGGGCGUAAAGCGCGCGCAGGCGGUCCUUUAAGUCUGAUGUGAAAGCCCACGGCUCAACCGUGGAGGGUCAUUGGAAACUGGGGGACUUGAGUGCAUAAGAGGAAAGUGGAAUUCCACGUGUAGCGGUGAAAUGCGUAGAGAUGUGGAGGAACACCAGUGGCGAAGUCGACUUUCUGGUCUGUAACUGACGCUGAGGCGCGAAAGCGUGGGGAGCAAACAGGAUUAGAUGCCCUGGUAGUCCACGCCGUAAACGAUGAGUGCUAAGUGUUAGGGGGUUUCCGCCCCUUAGUGCUGCAGCUAACGCAUUAAGCACUCCGCCUGGGGAGUACAGCCGCAAGGCUGAAACUCAAAGGAAUUGACGGA
rnacentral:rRNA from 1 species